CACCUACCGAUUGAAUGGUUCGGUGAAAAUCUCGGACUGCGGCUUGGAUGCCUUCGGGCAACCAAGCUGUGGAAAGUUGUUUAAACCUCAUCAUUUAGAGGAAGGUGAAGUCGUAACAAGGUUUCUGUAGGUGAACCUGCAGAAGGAUCACUCUCGGUAUUUCGUCUUUUUGGGUAAGAGUGUAGUUCUCGUUUGUCUCCGUAUCUUUUAACAUAUCAUCCUUUCUUACUUCUUCUUUCUCUUCUCUUUUUCUUCUUUCUCUUUCUCUUUUUUUUUU
rnacentral:misc_RNA from 1 species